UACGUAGGGGGCAAGCGUUAUCCGGAUUUACUGGGUGUAAAGGGAGCGUAGACGGCGAUGCAAGCCAGAUGUGAAAGCCCGGGGCUCAACCCCGGGACUGCAUUUGGAACUGUAUAGCUAGAGUGUCGGAGAGGCAGGCGGAAUUCCAAGUGUAGCGGUGAAAUGCGUAGAUAUUAGGAGGAACACCAGUGGCGAAGGCGGCCUGCUGGACGAUGACUGACGUUGAGGCUCGAAAGCGUGGGGAGCAAACAGG
rnacentral:rRNA from 1 species